AGUGAACGCUGGCGGUAGGCCUAUCACAUGCAAGUCGAACGGCAGCACAGGAGAGCUUGCUCUCUGGGUGGCGAGUGGCGGACGGGUGAGGAAUACAUCGGAAUCUACUCUGUCGUGGGGGAUAACGUAGGGAAACUUACGCUAAUACCGCAUACGACCUACGGGUGAAAGCAGGGGAUCUUCGGACCUUGCGCGAUUGAAUGAGCCGAUGUCGGAUUAGCUAGUUGGCGGGGUAAAGGCCCACCAAGGCGACGAUCCGUAGCUGGUCUGAGGGAGUGAUCAGCCACACUGGAACUGAUACACGGUCCAGACUCCUACGGGAGGAAGCAGUGGGGAAUAUUGGACAAUGGGCGCAAGCCUGAUCCAGCCAUACCGCGUGGGUGAAGAAGGCCUUCGGGUUGUAAAGCCCUUUUGUUGGGAAAGAAAUCCAGCUGGCUAAUACCCGGUUGGGAUGACGGUACCCAAAGAAUAAACACCGGCUAACUUCGUGCCAGCAGCCGCCGUAA
rnacentral:rRNA from 1 species